rnacentral:lncRNA from 1 species
GCUGGGCGGCCGGAGGGGUGGCUGGUGGUCGGAGCGGGGAGGCGUCCCCUCCAGCCCGGGGGCCCUUUCGGGGGCGCGCCCGCCCCGCCCUCCAGGCGGGACUCGUUGGGUCCCUCUGGCGCCCCGUGGGUCCCUUUCCCAGAGCUGCACCCGCCCUCUCUCGGCUCCUGGGCGCCACGGAUAGGAGGGCAAGUCACGCGAGGACCAGCCGCGUGCGGAUCGAGGCGGAGGAGUCCGGGGCCCUGCACACGCUCCUGCCGAGGCUCUGUCGUUGGCGGGGCGCUCUCGGGGCCGCUCUCCCGGCUUCGACACUGCUGCGGGGCAGACCGUGCCCACAGACGGCUUGGGUGCAUGUUUGCCCCUGGAUCUCAGACCAGCUAGAAAUCAGUCUCUCCCUAAGACCCAGGCUUCUGAGGGCGAGCGAGGUUUCCAGGGACGGUGCAUACCCAAAACUUCGUGUUAGGAGAGGCCUGGGCCAGAGUGUGAAGGCGCUGCAGUGAAGUCGCACAGCAGGGGACCAAGUGAGGACAUCAGGUCUCUGCCAUUGAGUACCUGCCAGCUCGAGUUGAGCAGAUGGUUGUCUAGAAUGUUCCUGAGCAACAAAAUGUGCAGGCUCCAGCCAAGUAACAAGGGAUUCAGGGAUGAAGAAGAUGAGAUCCUUGCCCUGAAGAACCCUGACUUUGUCUGGAGACUUUGCCACACGUCUCCAGGGUAGCAGGAGACCUGGUAGGGGAGCAGUCAUGGCUUGUAUCAUCCUCAGUUCUGGCUCCCGCCUGAUGCUGAAGACAGCCUCCUCCCAGAAGCCACUUCCAGUCGAGCCUUCGGAGAGUGACGCUGGCCUGAAUCCAAACCAGACCCAUCAUCGAGAAGAAAGCAGGCUCUAGGUCUCGUCCAGAGUUUCUGUCCCAGAACUUCGGUUACAAGCUCAGAAAAACGAAGAGUCUUGUCCAGAGCACAACCUCUGAAGAAGCGGAGCAACGCGGAAAUUCCCACGGCCGGGGGAUUGUGCUGCUGGCUCGUCUCCUGGCUCAUGCCGGCUUCCAGUGCUCCUUCCUCUCCCCUGGGAAUGAGAAGGAUAGAAAGGCCCGCUGGCAGAAAAGAGAUCAGACCCCGGAGGGAGAGGAGGUGCUCGGAAGGACUCCCCCAAAGAAGAGGACGUGUCUGCGGAAAAACCAACCAGAGAUGCGCUUUGACCAAAACGCACAGGAAGGAGCCCAGCCUGAGCCCUGAGGGUGAGACACGUGCCUGAGGCCUCUGGUGCUUCAUGGAAAGAUGACUUCCAGGGGUUCCCGGGUUCCCGCCCCUCCUGGGGAGGCAGCCCGAGGAACACAGCUGGGGCAGGUGCGUCUUUAAACAUCUGACGGACCCUGUUCAGCACCAGCGGGUCCCUACUGGAGAGAGGCCUUCCCCUGAGCUCGGGCGGGAAGCCGUUCCGGCACAGCUCCGACGUGACCAAACCCAGCGCGUUCACACUGGAGACAAGCCCUUUCAACGCCGUGUGUGCGGCAAAGCCUUUAACUGUGGUUCACAUCCCCUAAAACACGAGCAAACCCACACUGGAGAGAAACUGGAGGGGUGUGAGGAAUGUGGGGGGACCUUCACCCCAGCUCGUGUCUCAUUCGCCAUCGAAAAUGUCACCCGCGGAAGAAGCACUGACGGGGGUGAGUCAUCCGCCAGAUGCGGGCGGGCUUUGUGGGCUCGAGACCCAUCCUGGCAGGGCUGCCCUGGCGCCCCCUCGAUCAGGCCUUGUCCGCUCAGGCCGGGGGUCCCACCCUCACCAGGAACACCCAGGUCUGGCUGGAGACCUCCAUCGUGUCACUACGAUGACAAGGACGCUUCUCACAGCUGCGGCACCAGAGGCAGGCUUCGGGCCCUGGCACAGCCCCCACCUCCCGCUGCUGCCUCCGCCUGUGGCGCCCACGCUGGCUCCCCAACCACUGCUCCUUUGGAGACUGGUCUGCAGCCUCUCAGCCCUCAGCGUCCUGAGUCCAUCUCCAUGUGGCCUGGCCCCGAGCUGGACGGCAGUGCUUUGCAAUGAGCUCCAGGGACCCCGCUGUCCCCCGGCUGGCUGUGGUGGCAGUGCUGGGCCUCGUCCUCUGCCUUCCCUCCUCGGCUGGGGCACCGCUUGAACGCGGCCCCCCUCCCCAGGAACUGGACCCCCUGUGGUCCUCCCAGCUCAGCCCCCAUCCCAGGUGAACCACCGUGACACCAAAUGCUACCACCACGCAAGAUCCCUGCCCUGGCCACGCGGGGCCCUGGGACGCCCAUGACAGCUGGGAUCCCUUCAGACGCCAGGCGGUGGGUCCGUCCCCAAGGCCAGCUCUCCGUUCAGGUUUGUCCCACUUCUGCGGGCCUCACCCCCAUCCUGCCCCCGUCACGUCCACAUGCCGGGCCUGCCCGUGGUUCCCUCCGGGAGGGGUCUGGACGGCCUCUGUGCUCUCCUGGGGGGGGGGUGUGCUCUGUCCCAGCGUUUCCGGGUGGUGUGGGAGGGGCAAGGCCACUGCCACCCAGGAGGGAAAGUAGCUUUUUAAUAGGAAAAUGCUGAUAUUUAGGUUUUCAGCAGUUCGGACCCAGAAAACAGAGCAGCCUUCGUCGCGGGGGCUCCUCUGUGAGGAGAGGGGUCGGGGCUCCCGGGACAAGUGUCUCCCCAGUCUGACAGGCGCUGACCUCUUCUCCGUAAAAGCUGCGACGGCAGAGCAGCUCUGCCCGCGCUGGCGCCUCCGCCCAGGCUCGGCAGGCCCCCUCCCACGCGGCAGCCGGCCCAGGUGACGGGCUAACCUGCCGCCCGCGGUCCUGCUCUCACCGACCAGGAGAUGGCGGGGCGCUGAGGCAGAAUCUCCGAGCAGGUGCUGGGCUGGCCUGGGGGGGACACGCCUUUGGUCCCGGGUGGGGCAGGUGCUGUGAGGGACGCGACUGGGACGUCUGGCAAACUUGAGUCCAGACUGUCCCCGGGGGGGGGGACGACACACAGGGUCACUGCUCCCCAGUCCGAGGGCCUGUGACCGUCCCAGACAGCAUCCUCGUCACGAAAAUGUACGCGAAGGUCACGGCCUUCAGGCCACGGCGUCCUGAUGGAAGUUUGCGCAGAGGCUGACAAGGGAGCGACGACAGCAGGACCCACACGGACCCUGAGCGGUGGCGACGCAGACCGGCUCAGCGUCGGGCGUCCCUGAAUCUAGACCGAGGGCUGGCAGGCCUUUGCUGUGAGGGGCCCGAGGCGGGUGGUUCCCGGCUUGUGGGCACGAGGUCCCGUCCCGACGCAGCUCAGCGGUGCCAGGCAGAGGCCGGCGUGCGUAUCCGCGGAGCUUUGCUUCCAGAAGCAGGAAGGUGGGGCUGGGGCGAGCGAGGCCCUAUGUGCUGGGAGUCCCGAGGUCCUGCAGACCCAGCGUCGGCAGGAGGAGGCCUGGGCGCGGGGAGGGGCGGGGAGACGCCCGGAGCCGGCGGCCCCGCCGUUGGCCUUGCUGCGCCGGGGAGAGGCCGUGGAGGCGGCCGUCAGCCGUGCCGCUCCCACGGGCCAGGGGCUCUGCAUCCGCUCCACCCGGUUCCCUCGGAUGGCUGCUGACUUGCCCUGACGGAGGUAUUUUGUGUGGAGAGCAUCGUGUGACGUGCACCCGAGCUUACGGUGCUUCACGCGCAGAGAGAAGAGCCGCCGUUGUCUAUGUAACCCCGUUUCCAUGUCAUUUCCCACGGAAAAGCCCUCUUUCUGUGGUUGCCUGACAAUCCGUGGAUUAGAAACAUUGAUU